rnacentral:tRNA from 1 species
AAAAAGAUAAGCUAAUAAAGCUACUGGGUUCAUACCCCAUUUAUGAAAGUUCUAGUCUUUCUCUUUUUA